UACCAUGAAAGACAUGUGCGCGAGGGUGAUAAACUAAUAAUUUUUUUUAUUGGGCCUUAUGUACAGUACAGUAUGCGGCAAUCGUCAAGAACGAUUAUUUUAGCCUCAAGUGAGAAUAGGCACAAGCCCAAACAGAUACAGUACUGCACUCCAUAUACAGUUGAACUUACCUAAGUCAAAUCCAAAAUGCCAUUGAAAUAUUGUUCAACUUAGAUAAAAUUUGACGAUUGCUAAUUCAUGAAAAACACAACAAUUUGGCAUGUAAAAUAAGAUCGACUUAGAAAUUAUUCAACUUAGGCACAAGGUUGACUUAGGCAAGUUUAACUGUAAAUAAUAAAAGAACUGUACACAAACAUUACGGUAAUUACACAACCAAUCAAGUUUUUGUAAUUAAACCAAAAAAAAAUCCAAUACAGUUUUAACUUAGUACUGUACUAUCAAUAGUAAAACCAUUAUUUGUUCAUACUCUACACUUGAACACCCCAUAUUUUUAUUUUGGUUAUAUGUUUAUCGGUACAUGCCACUAUCUAUGUAUUCCCAGUAAAUAUAACACUGGACAUGAAGUACAUUAGUUUAAAGACUAGUUUUAUUGACAAUACACUAGCUUUCAUGCUUGUAUUCCAGCUUAUUGUUUUAUAUUGUCACACUAGCUUGUUUGGAGCAAGAAUGUGUACCCACCCUCCAUUGUCUCUCAUAUGCUGUAGUAAGAAAGAUUGAUUUUUUUUUUCAUUUGUACUGACAUUUGUACAGUCACCUGAAAAAGCUCUGGUUGAGUGAAAGCUUGUUGUACUUGUAAUUGUUAGUCUUAAAAUUAUUGCUACCUGCAAGCUUAUAAUAUUCUUUUUAGAUUUAAUUAUUGAGUUAAAUAAUUAUUCGCAACUAACAACAGUUCAUUCAGAACUAUCUAUAUGGUGUACUUCAAGCAUUAAUAUUAUUACUUCGCCAUGCAAAACUUCAAACAAUAUUAUGAUGAAAUUAUAAUACAUAGAAUAAUGACAUGAAGUUCUUCUAGUAGUAACAUGGCUUUAAUACUGUACUUAAAAACUAGUUAGUACACAGCAUUGAGGUUCUGGUUAUUCAGCCAGUGAAAUCAAAAUUAAAAUUAUAAUAAAUCCCUAGUUAUAUGAUAAGAAUAAUUAUUUGUUUUGGUACUUUACUAGAAAUUACUAUAAUCUUCUGUAGUGUAGGUGAAUGGCUGCUCUGCUGUGACGUACGUAUACACCAACCUUUGUCCCAUUUAUGUGAUGACGUCACAAUUGGCAUUGCGUCAUCAAUGAUUCAGGUUCGUGCCAAUGGUGCAAGCUAGCAAGAUUGAAUAUGUAACCUUGAAAUCAGGAAUUUUGAAUUAAGGAUAAGUGCGAAGUGGGCGUAAAAUGUUAUGGAAGAAGAAUAACCUGUAACUUGGUCAAAUGACUACUCUAGCAGCAGUGGAGAGGCACUGUAGCUUCAGACAUUCCACGACAGGGUGCUGAAGUGAACCAGAGCAGUGGGAUGAUCCUUUUCUCUUCCAAAAGAUGCAGUUGCAAUUGUGAACAUUGCGUAUGAUUAAUAUCGAGAGGAAAUGGAGAUGUCAUCAUGAGUGAUCACGCCAAUCAUGUAUUGUAUGUUGGAGUUGAGGUGGAAUUGUUUUAAAGUUUGCUGGUGUUUACCUGGAUUUCGCUUUGCAUUCACAUAGGUAGCUACAGAGCUUUUGUAAAGCAGGAUGGUUGUCUUCAGUAAUUUGUGACAUCAUUUAGUUGUCUGUGUAAGCCGCUUUCCAGACUAUCAAAUUUUAUUUGACAAAAACAUGCAACAUGCCUUAGUAUGGUCAUGAUGACAUCACAUCAUGACCAUAUAUGGGCAUAUCAUGGCUAUAUAUGGACAUACAACAGUUUUUUGUCAAAGAAAAUUUGGUAGUCUGGAUAUAGCUUUUGACAUGGGUAAGGUUGGAUCUGAUGCCGAAAGCUGAUGCAGCAAUGGUUCAUUCAAGAGUGGUUGAUAUGAAAACUGAAAGAACUGCUUUGGCUGCAUCCCUGUAUAUUGAACCUGGUGUUUCUACGAGCAGCAGCUGGAUUUGUAUGUAGGAGAGAAUAAAAAUAUUAACCCUCAAAUUUAUUUAAGAAGAAAAGCCCUAUUACAUUUCUGUGUAAUUUUUUGGGUGUAGGAGAGGUGGAUAUGGGAAGGGAUAUGAAAGGCACAUGCAAUGGAAUGCACAUGCUAUUGGGUUCUGAAGUAGGAGUGAUGCUUACUUUGGUAUGGGUUAGCCAGGAGGCUGGGAUUAGAAUAAUUUGAUGGGGAUAUUGAUUGGGGAUGUUGCAGUAUUCCGGCGGCAACUAUGCCCCUAGCAAAUCAUAAACUAUAUUAUUGUUCAUCUCUCAUGAAACAUAAUUUCAUCAUCAUUGGAUGUUAUAUGUGAUUCUUUAUAAUUAGUUUUAAAUUUGGAGGUGUUUUUUUUUUUAUUUUUGAGGUUUUUCUAGUAAGCACUUUUGAUUAAAGUUCAAGAUAAUGUACUUUCAUUCUAUGAAAUGGUGAAAGUAUAUUGAAUGAGAUUGAAACUGAUUAUUAAUUGAGGCUGAGACAGAAAAACAAGUUUGUUUCCUAUACGUAAGGGUAAACACAAAGCUUGUUAAUGAAAUUAAGGAAAAUAAUUAAUUUGAUUAGGCUGCUGAAUAUGAUUACGAUAGAUUUGUACAGCCACAGUAAUUCUGAGUUCUCUCUCUCAUUGUUACAAAAUGGAUUAACAUUAAGUAACAUACAGUUCAGGCAAGUUCAUACAGUACAAACUAUUUAUAUUUUUGAUUGGCAAUCCUGAUACGUUGCAAUCUUUCUGAUUGGCUUAUCUUGAAUAUUGUGGAUCUCCUUAUUGGCUGAUAUUGAAUUUUGCAAUCACCUAAAUAAACUCUUUGAAAGUUGCAAUUUUCUGAUUGGCCAAAUUAAAAUGUUGCAAUCUUAUGAUUGGCUUUUUGUAAUUUCUGAAAUAAAAACACAAUAUCAUAAUGUAUGGACCUAAAUUGGCAUUAGAGAUGAAAUUUUUUAACAAAUAAUGACAACAGCAAUAAAUAAAUUAGCCAAUUUAACAUAACACAAUAAGUACUAAAGUUUACCAAUAAACUGAUGCCUGUUCAGUACUGUAUAUCGUUUGGAUAUUAAUAAACAUUGCUUUUAUGCCAUCUAGCUUGAGACCUCUAUUUUAGCAAAAUUUUUACCAUUUUAGCUUUUAAAAUUUUAACAUUUACCUUUAUAUAAUAACAUUAUAUGAUGUGAUGUAUGUGUUGUGUGUUUUAGUGUGUGAUUGUAUCAAUAAGAAUAUUUUUAUUUUAUCUGUGAACAAACAACCAGAAUAUCAAUCUGUGUAUUUUACUGUGUUUGACAAAGAUUGAAUUUAAUAAAUCUUUUUAUUGCAAAAAUGUAUUGUUAUGCUAGUGCCCACUCGCAGGUUAGUGUGCUUGCUUCAAUAGCGUCCAGAAAGGCAGUGUUUGUAAUUAGUGUAAUAUAUUUGUGAAACGUCAUUUUUAAUGCCCCUAGGUAAAGGAAGCCCUGGUAAAAUGUUGAAAAAUGUUAUUUCUUCACAUCCAACAAGUACAGUACACUCGCCAUUUACAGGAUGGAAUGAUGAUAAACCAAGCCUCUUAUUGAGGCCUAGGAAGAGGAGAGGAGUUGUUUUUGGUUGUGAGAAAAAGUCCUGCUGUAACAGAAAUAGAAACAAGGAUCCUGGGUUUAGAAGCCAAGCAUAAGCUACUAACUAAGCUACUCAACUCUACUCCAACUACAUAAACUGGGGGUUUUUUGCCAUUGGAUGAAAGCUAAACUAAUAUUGUUUUUAAAAAUAUGUGUACAGUAUAUUCAACUAGUUAUGUCAAUAAGAUGAUAACAUACCACACACGAAGGUGGAACUUGGAAGAAUUAUUUACUUGCCUGUUGUUAAGUGGCAAAUAUAGUGAUAGCGUUAUGACGUAGUCUGACGGAAAUAAUGGUAAUUAAAAAAGUUUUGCAUUUAGAUAGGCCUAAUAGUAAUACACAAAAAAAUGAAAAGCAAUAUCAAUGUA